CAAAUUAAACUCCAGCUUUAACAUAAUCGCACCUAUUCGAAUGUGCAAUUAUACAUGAGGACCUGGAAUCAAUUUUUACUCUAGUGUCGUUGCCGCUAUUAAUAAUUCAACUAAUUACUGGACAUAAUUACCAUAGGCUAAUUAACAUUCCAAUACCAACUAAUAGUCAAAAGAAGAUAGUUCGUAUUAACCUACAAGCAUUUCUAAUUAUACAACCAUAUGUCUAUUGCUUAAAUCAAUACCUGCUAAACAAUUAACAUCAACUAACAUCUAGAUAACUAACAUAUAAUUAAUGAUGGACAAUAGACAACACCCAAACGAGCAUGCAUCUGGUAAUCACUUUUCAUUUCAACUUCAAUUCAAAACUACAUUGGGAAGAAUCGAGCGAGUGUACCUGAAGUGAAUUAAACAGAAAAGGAGAAGUCAGCAAUUGUAACACUUUCCAGCAGUAGUUCAGGAAUGAGUUUAAAACCCAGCAGCAAUCAAUAAAUGAAUACAGCAGCCUAGAAAUGAUCAGGCACUCCAAAAACAAAUCGAAAUCAAGUAGGACAAGGCAAUCGACAACUUGAAUGACCCAAAGGAAUUUGAAACUGAGCCCAGAAGUUCCAGAAAAACCUUAGCACUUAGAAACACCCAAUAACAACUUGAGUAAACCCCAAACUACUUGCAAAUGCCUUAACUCUUGAACAUAUAACAAAAUCAUAGAAAUUCGAGCUGUUUCUGAUCCUAAGUGAUCAAUUUAACAGUAAUUUUUCUUUUGAUUUUUUUCUAUUGCUUUUCUGAAAAUUUGAGAAAACUAAGAUCUAGAUUUUGUUUUUGAAUUUAAAAUUCUCACUUAGCGCUCUUAACUUUCUCAAAUCUCAAUUCACGCCUUCUUUUUCAAUAUCUCUUAAUCCUCACAAAAAAAAUUCAAAACUGAAUCCUCUCUCCUUCUUUUUCAAUUUGUCUUUCUAUUCUGCUCUCUUAAACUCAAUACCCUGUGUGUAUUAUAUAUGUGUGUGUGUAGCAGAAUGUUCUCUCUUAGAAUGAAUUCUCUCCCUCUUUUUCAAUGUCCCCUUAAGUCUUAAGCUUAAACUCCUAUUUAUACAAUUGAGGAUCCCCUUUAUGGCAUAUUCUAUUCAUUUUUAGAUCUAUCCCUAAACUUUCCACGUUGUACACACUCUUGCACAUAUAUCCCUCAAUCUUUUUUACCAUUAUACCCAUGCUAUUCUAAUGUUCCACCCUUAAAGGUAUUGAAUUGAGUGUCAGCAUCCACUCAAACAAACCUUUUUUCAUUUUUUUAAUUCAUUCUUCUUUUCUUUACCUCAGUUCAAUAGUGUACCCCCUUAAUUUUUGUCAGCAACUCCAUUUUAUUACUUCUUAACUCCCUUAGUAGUCCUUAAACUAAACCUUAAUUCCCCUAAAAUAUACCCUUAGUCCUGGCUGGGUCCAAAUGACCUAAGAUCGGAAAACCUUAGGCAACCAAAACUCAAAAUUGGAUUUAAAGGUAAGCAUUUCCAAAUCCAAAUACAAUCAAGUCAAGUUCUGAACAAAAAAUGAAACAAGAAGAAGCUGAAUCAAUUUGUGCAACACUUUUACUGAUCCUAAUUAAUGUAAUCAAAUUCUUAAUGAAGUUUAAACUAACUUAUUAACAGAUUAUGGAUACUAAAAAAUUCUUUAAUUAGAAACUAAAAGAGUUCAAAAGAAGAGGGGAAGACACACAAAACAAAUAAUAGAAAAUAAAGAAAAAUUGACAAUAGAAUAUAGAAAAAUAAAUACCUAAGAUGGUUCAACAUCCACUCCGAAUAAACCUGAAGAGAAUCCUUCGAUUUCUUGACCAGAAUAACCUUUAAUCGCAUGUUUUCAUGUGAAAACAUACGAGUAAAGGCCAUUAUAGCCCAGAAUCUUCAAAAAAUCCAUUGGAUUUGGAUCUUGUGGAACAAGGUCUUUGUUUCUCUAAUUCAGGAUUCGAACAAUUUGAGGGGGAUUUGAUGGGAAAUAAUGGCGUAUUACGGAUGAGGGGGUCAUUGGGGUCUAGGGGUGUGACUUUGGAGUUUAUUGGGUAGGCUAGGUUUUUUUGUUGACUGAAGUUCGAUUGAAGAUUCGAAGCGUUUGGCUAUGAUUCGAAGAGAAGUGUUUGGAUAUUUGGAAUGAGGAGGUUCGGGGGAAGCUACAAUGUACUUUUGGGGGUCUUUGGGCCACCGGACCCGGCGUGAGGCAAUUUCUGGUGGGUGGAGUAGCGUGGUGAGAGGCGGAGAGAGAUGGGCUGGUCUCUGAAGGUUAGCGACAAGUGAGGGGGGUCUGAGGGGUGAGGUAUAAGAUUUUGGUAUAUUAAAAUGGCCGGU
rnacentral:lncRNA from 1 species